rnacentral:rRNA from 1 species
CGGCGGCCAUAAUGUGAUGGACCCACCUGAUCCCCAUUCCGAACUCAGAAGUGAAACGUCAUCAUGCCGAUGGUAGUGUUGGGCUUCCCAAUGUGAGAGUAGGUCCCGCCGGUUC